AUACGUAGGGUGCGAGCGUUAAUCGGAAUUACUGGGCGUAAAGCGUGCGCAGGCGGUUUUGUAAGACAGGUGUGAAAUCCCCGGGCUUAACCUGGGAACUGCGCUUGUGACUGCAAGACUUGAGUGCGGCAGAGGGGGGUGGAAUUCCACGUGUAGCAGUGAAAUGCGUAGAGAUGUGGAGGAACACCGAUGGCGAAGGCAGCCCCCUGGGAUGACACUGACGCUCAUGUACGAAAGCGUGGGUAGC
rnacentral:rRNA from 1 species